UAAGCAUUUACCCUCGCCUUGGCUUACGG
rnacentral:sRNA from 1 species